UUCAUCUUCAUUGUUUUUCAGCUCUUUAUGGUUCAGUCUUACAGAUAUCCUCAUGUUCAUGUUUCUCGAGCAGUCAUAUAUGAGUUCAGUUCAGUGAACAUCAGCUGUGAGACGCCGUCAGAGGCUUCAGUGACUCAGUGUUAUUUCUACACAAAAAACAAAAAGCAGGAAAUAAAAGUCAGUCCACCAUGUCAGCAGGAGUACACUGCUGCUGAAGUGCUCAGAUGGGUAGGAGGAAAACCACCUGCAAUAGUGGACAUUCACUGUUACUACACAACAUAUGAGAGAGGCACAGAGAUCUCAUCAGCGGAGUCUGAUUCUGCCACACUGACAGUUAAAGAAGGUCUUCCUCAGGCCAGACUGUCAGCGUCUGCUUCAGUUCUUCAGGAAACAGACACAGUGGAGCUGAGAUGUGACAAUACGGAAGAGCUGAAGAUGGAAAUGUGUUUCUUCAACAAAUAUGGAAGAGAAAGUAACUCAUAUCUGAACUCUUCAUGUCAGCUCUCACUCACUGCAUCUCAGAUCAGUGUUUGGUCUGGAGCUCAGAGUUCAUCAGUGAGAAUAAUCUGCUUCUACACUGUGAAAAAUGGACAAUAUCAAGUACAAUCUCCUCAGUCUGAUCCAGUAACCAUAACAGUCCAGACUCUUCACACUUCAACAGCUCAUCCCCAAGCUCAACAACCAAAACCAGGUGGACUGCUUAUAAUUCUGGUUUCUACUGUUGGUGUCAUUUUGGUUGGGUUCAUUGGACUCAUCUGUCUGUGCUGGCUUGCAA
rnacentral:lncRNA from 1 species